CAGGCCUAACACAUGCAAGUCGAACGGUAAGGCCCCUUCGGGGGUACACGAGUGGCGAACGGGUGAGUAACACGUGAGCAACCUGCCCGUGACUCUGGAAUAACAGUUGGAAACAGCUGCUAAUACUGGAUAUGCACUUAUCUUCUCCUGGGGGUGAGUGGAAAGCUCCGGCGGUCAGGGAUGGGCUCGCGGCCUAUCAGCUUGUUGGUGAGGUAAUGGCUCACCAAGGCUUCGACGGGUAGCCGGCCUGAGAGGGCGACCGGCCACACUGGGACUGAGAUACGGCCCAGACUCCUACGGGAGGCAGCAGUGGGAAUAUUGCACAAUGGGCGCAAGCCUGAUGCAGCAACGCCGCGUGCGGGAUGACGGCCUUCGGGUUGUAAACCGCUUUCAGUUCCGACGAAGCGAAAGUGACGGUAUGAACAGAAGAAGGACCGGCUAACUACGUGCCAGCAGCCGCGGUAAU
rnacentral:rRNA from 1 species